rnacentral:ribozyme from 16 species
CAAGGAAAGAAAAGAAAUCUCGAAGCGAAUAUUCUGAAAAAACGCAGAGUGCUUCACUAUGGCGGCUAGUCUCUUCAGCGGAUCUUUUUUUGUUUUUUUUGUUUCUUCGUCAUCUUUCAUAGACAGCACGGGGCUGAAUCGUUUGAUAAGCUCAGGUUCUGGAGUGAAAAUGGCAUAACACAGUAGUAGCUCUCCUUGUAGGAUAGAGGAGCGAGGAUUCUCCCGGGAUUCAGCAGAAAGAUUUUUUUUGUGGUCUUUGCUUGCGUUUCUUGGGAUGAACAACGACAACGAAGACCAGUUGUA